UGAACGCUGGCGGCACGCCUUACACAUGCAAGUCGAACGGCAGCGCGGACUUCGGUCUGGCGGCGAGUGGCGAACGGGUGAGUAAUACAUCGGAACGUACCCUGUUGUGGGGGAUAACUAGUCGAAAGAUUAGCUAAUACCGCAUACGACCUGAGGGUGAAAGUGGGGGACCGCAAGGCCUCACGCAGCAGGAGCGGCCGAUGUCUGAUUAGCUAGUUGGUGGGGUAAAGGCCCACCAAGGCGACGAUCAGUAGCUGGUCUGAGAGGACGAUCAGCCACACUGGGACUGAGACACGGCCCAGACUCCUACGGGAGGCAGCAGUGGGGAAUUUUGGACAAUGGGGGCAACCCUGAUCCAGCAAUGCCGCGUGUGUGAAGAAGGCCUCGGUUGUAAAGCACUUUGUCCGGAAGAAUCCAGCCGGCUAAUACCUGGUUGGGAGUGACGGUACCAAACGAAUAAGCACCGGCUAACUCGUGCCAGCAGCCGCG
rnacentral:rRNA from 1 species